ensembl:rRNA 5S_rRNA 5S ribosomal RNA
GUCUACGGCCAUACCACCCUGAACGUGCCCGAUCUCGUCUGAUCUCGAAAGCUAAGCAGGGUCGGGCCUGGUUAGUACUUGGAUGGGAGACAAUGGUGGAAGAUGGUAUUUUCCACC